CUACCGGGGUAUCUAAUCCUGUUUGCUCCCCACGCUUUCGCGCCUCAGCGUCAGUCAAGGACCAGGUCGCCGCCUUCGCCACCGGUGUUCUUCCCAAUAUCUACGAAUUUCACCUCUACACUGGGAAUUCCACGACCCUCUUCCCCACUCUAGCCCAAACGUAUCAAACGCAGCCCCCAGGUUGAGCCCAGGAAUUUCACGCCUGACUGUCCAAGCCGCCUACGCGCCCUUUACGCCCAGUCAUUCCGAGCAACGCUAGCCCCCUUCGUAUUACCGCGGCUGCUGGCAC
rnacentral:rRNA from 1 species